UAGGAACUCUGAUAACAACUGUUGCUAGGUCCUCAGGCAGACUCAAGUUUGGCUCUCAAGGAGUAAGUGUCUCCCACCACAGAUCAGGAAACAAUGGGCACCACUGAAGUGACUCUACAGACGUCAAUCACUCUUAGACAUCCAGCUCAUGGCCCUCCACAGACCUGUGCAUGCCUGGCUUUCUGAAAUCCCAAAGAUCUGACCCUCCCAACCCUGGGUGACUCCCCAGGGAUGGACACUCUUCAAGGGCCGGUAGUCACAGACGAACAAGAUGUUCUGUGGUCACAUCUGGAACAGAAGUUUAAAUGUCUGACUUGGUCAGCUGGGAAGGCUGUCAUAGUAAAUUUUAAGUCACCAUACAAAUCAAGGUCAACUAAAUAGAUCAGAGGGGUAGAACUGAAGUGUCUUCAAAGAGAUGAGUAUCUGAACCACCUCCAUGACCAUAAGGAACACUUUGGAGUUUCACUUAUCAGAGAAUUAUGCCCAAAAUUUCCAAAGAAAAUGUAGAAUAUCUAAGACCUGCUUAUUUGCAAGAGACAUCAUAGGCUCCCACUAUGUAGUCUGUAAGCAUCCAAUAAUUUUUUCUAUAAAGAAAGGGAGUAUAAUGUUCCCUUCAUCUCAGUCUCUGUUGUUGAGUAGGAAAAUGAUUAUGACCCAAUUGUAAGAAUGGACAAAUGGGAGUGUCAUGUAAGAUGGAAAUGAAAAUAUUGAAAUCCUUGGGCCAAGGGACAAAAGUCAGAGACAGCCUUUGUUCUAAGUGAUGGGUCUGACAUCUUAUCUAGAAAGGAGAAUGAGCUGGGCAGUGGUGGCACACACCUUAAAUCACAGCAGUCACGAGGCAUAGGCAGGUGGAUCUUUUGAAUUCAAGGCCAGCCUGGUCUACAGAGCGAU